UCAGACAUGGUGUAGGGAACACUGCCUCGAUGCAUAUAUUGCGAGUUGAUUAGCGUCCGAGGCCGUCCCAGGUUCGAUUCCUGGUGUCUGAA